UACGAAGGGGGCUAGCGUUGCUCGGAUUUACUGGGCGUAAAGGGCGCGUAGGCGGACAUUUAAGUCAGGGGUGAAAUCCCAGAGCUCAACUCUGGAACUGCCUUUGAUACUGGGUGUCUUGAGUGUGAGAGAGGUAUGUGGAACUCCGAGUGUAGAGGUGAAAUUCGUAGAUAUUCGGAAGAACACCAGUGGCGAAGGCGACAUACUGGCUCAUUACUGACGCUGAGGCGCGAAAGCGUGGGGAGCAAACAGG
rnacentral:rRNA from 1 species